UACGGAGGAUCCAAGCGUUAUCCGGAUUCAUUGGGUUAAAGGGUGCGUAGGCGGAAUGAUAAGUCAGUGGUGAAAUCCUGCAGCUUAACUGCAGAACUGCCAUUGAUACUGUCAAUCUUGAGUACAUUUGAUGUGGGCGGAAUGUGUCAUGUAGCGGUGAAAUGCUUAGAUAUGACACAGAACACCGAUUGCGAAGGCAGCUCACAAAACUGUAACUGACGCUGAGGCACGAAAGCGUGGGUAUCAAACAGG
rnacentral:rRNA from 1 species